UAGGGAAUCUUCCACAAUGGACGAAGGUCUGAUGGAGCAACACCGCGUGAGUGAAGAAGGGUUUCGGCUCGUAAAGCUCUGUUGUUAAAGAAGAACACGUAUGAGAGUAACUGUUCAUACGUUGACGGUAUUUAACCAGAAAGUCACGGCUAACUACGUGCCAG
rnacentral:rRNA from 1 species